UGGCGGCGUGCUUAACACAUGCAAGUCGAACGGAGUUCUGAUGUGUGAAGCGAAGUAGCUUGCUAUGGAGUGGAACUUUUCAGAACUUAGUGGCGGACGGGUGAGUAACGCGUGGGUAACCUGCCGUAUGCAGGGGGACAACAGCUGGAAACGGCUGCUAAUACCUCAUAUUGAGUUUAAUCGCAUGAUUUAAACUUGGAAAGAUUUAUCGCUUAUGGAUGGACUCGCGUCUGAUUAGCUAGUUGGUGAGGUAACGGGCCCACCAAGGCGACGAUCAGUAGCCGGACUGAGAGGUUGACCGGCCACAUUGGGACUGAGAUACGGCCCAGACUCCUACGGGAGGCAGCAGUGGGGAAUAUUGGGCAAUGGGGCGCAAGCCUGACCCAGCAACGCCGCGUGAAGGAAGAAGGCUUUCGGGUUGUAAACUUCUUUUGUCGAGGAAGAGUAGAAGACUGUACUCGGCGAAUAAGCCACGGCUAACUACGUG
rnacentral:rRNA from 1 species